rnacentral:lncRNA from 1 species
AGAGUUUGUGCUUGCAUUCUUAAGCACAUAUCAUUGAGCCUAGAUCAUGCAUGACUUUGUCCUCGAAACUAUUGAACUAUCAUUAUUUUGCAAAUUUCACAUCUUAACUAUCUGUUAUUCCUUUUUCCUAUUUGAUCUAUCACCAUGUAUCUAUGUACGAAACACAUCCUGAAGCUGCUUAUACGAACUAUUAAUUGUUCUGUUUUUUUUUUUCUAUCUAAACUAUCACUAUCUACUCGCAACAAGCUAAACACAUAGAUGACGACAGUCUAGAUCAUGCACGACUUUGUCCUCGAAACUAUUGAACAACCAUUGUUUUGCAUGUUUCAUAUCUUAACUAUCUAUUUUUUCUUUUUCCUAUUUGAAUUAUCACCAUCUAUAUACUAAACACACCUCGAAGCUGCUUAUAUCAAUUAUUAAUUGUUCUCAUUUUUUAUCUGAACUAUCACCAUUUAUGUACUAAACAUAUCUCGAAGCUGCUUAUAUCAAUUAUUAAUUGUUCUCAUUUUUUAUCUGAACUAUCACCAUUUAUGUGCUAAACAUAUCUCGAAGCUGCUUAUAUCAAUUAUUAAUUGUUCUCCUUUUUUAUCUGAGCUAUCACCAUUUACUCGCAACAAGCUAAACUCAUAAAUGAUGAUCGUAUAUGUAGGAAAAUGGGACAUCCAAUUGUUGGAUUAUGAGACUCGUGAAAAAGUGAUCAUUCAAAUGUGUUUUAUCAGUAUAUAUAAGAAAUAAUAUUUCUAACAAUUUUUGUUUACAAAUUUAAACAG